UUUCGAUCCCACAUGUAAAUAGCACGGUGAUUUCAAAUAAGACAUUGAUACAUUACAACACUUGCCGUCAGUAUUUAAAUAUAUUGAUUAAGAAGGUUGUCAGCAAGAUGAAAAGGACAAGUAGGCAGUUCAAAAUUCAAAAUGUGGAUAUGCUGAGGUUCAAGGUCUUACCUUUGCAGAUUUUCAUAUUUUGCAUGAAUGAAUUCAAAGGUUAUAUGAUGGACGGCAGAGAAAGAAAAAAACAAACUUUUCAAUAAUCCUGCUCCUGGAUAAAUGUAAAACAUCUUGUUUCGAAGGAUUGAAAUUCACCACCUAGAAUAAAUGGAGAAAACAUAAAAACAAGACCAGAAUAAAUUCAAAGACAAAAGUUGGAUCAGUUAUUAUUUUCAUCACUCAGUCAAUGAUUUGAAGUUCUUUUAAAUACAAAAAAAUAUUGAAACCACAAUAAUGUCAAAGUUCUGUGCUGAAUGACCAAAAAUUGGA